rnacentral:rRNA from 1 species
GAUUUAGCCAUGCUAGUUGUGCGGGUUUAGACCCGCAGCGGAAAGCUCAGUAACACGUGGCCAAGCUACCCUGUGGACGGGAAUACUCUCGGGAAACUGAGGUUAAUCCCCGAUAACGCUUUGCUCCUGGAAGGGGCAAAGCCGGAAACGCUCCGGCGCCACAGGAUGCGGCUGCGGUCGAUUAGGUAGACGGUGGGGUAACGGCCCACCGUGCCCAUAAUCGGUACGGGUUGUGAGAGCAAGAGCCCGGAGACGGAAUCUGAGACAAGAUUCCGGGCCCUACGGGGCGCAGCAGGCGCGAAACCUUUACACUGUACGAAAGUGCGAUAAGGGGACUCCGAGUGUGAAGGCAUAGAGCCUUCACUUUUGUACACCGUAAGGUGGUGCACGAAUAAGGACUGGGCAAGACCGGUGCCAGCCGCCGCGGUAAUACCGGUAGUCCGAGUGAUGGCCGAUCUUAUUGGGCCU